AUCAGAAGUGCGAAUGCUGACAUAAGUAACGAUAAAGCGGGUGAAAAGCCCGCUCGCCGGAAGACCAAGGGUUCCUGUCCAACGUUAAUCGGGGCAGGGUGAGUCGACCCCUAAGGCGAGGCCGAAAGGCGUAGUCGAUGGGAAACGGGUUAAUAUUCCCGUACUUGGUGUUACUGCGAAGGGGGGACGGAGAAGGCUAUGUUGGCCGGGCGACGGUUGUCCCGGUUUAAGCGUGUAGGUGUGUGUUCCAGGUAAAUCCGGUUCACUUUAACACUGAGGCGUGACGACGAGGCACUACGGUGCUGAAGCAACAAAUGCCCUGCUUCCAGGAAAAGCCUCUAAGCAUCAGGUAACAUCAAAUCGUACCCCAAACCGACACAGGUGGUCAGGUAGAGAAUACCAAGGCGCUUGAGAGAACUCGGGUGAAGGAACUAGGCAAAAUGGUGCCGUAACUUCGGGAGAAGGCACGCUGACACGUAGGUGAAGUGAUUUACUCAUGGAGCUGAAGUCAGUCGAAGAUACCAGCUGGCUGCAACUGUUUAUUAAAAACACAGCACUGUGCAAACACGAAAGUGGACGUAUACGGUGUGACGCCUGCCCGGUGCCGGAAGGUUAAUUGAUGGGGUCAGCGCAAGCGAAGCUCCUGAUCGAAGCCCCGGUAAACGGCGGCCGUAACUAUAACGGUCCUAAGGUAGCGAAAUUCCUUGUCGGGUAAGUUCCGACCUGCACGAAUGGCGUAAUGAUGGCCAGGCUGUCUCCACCCGAGACUCAGUGAAAUUGAACUCGCUGUGAAGAUGCAGUGUACCCGCGGCAAGACGGAAAGACCCCGUGAACCUUUACUAUAGCUUGACACUGAACAUUGAGCCUUGAUGUGUAGGAUAGGUGGGAGGCUUUGAAGCGUGGACGCCAGUCUGCGUGGAGCCGACCUUGAAAUACCACCCUUUAAUGUUUGAUGUUCUAACGUGGACCCGUGAUCCGGGUUGCGGACAGUGUCUGGUGGGUAGUUUGACUGGGGCGGUCUCCUCCUAAAGAGUAACGGAGGAGCACGAAGGUUGGCUAAUCCUGGUCGGACAUCAGGAGGUUAGUGCAAUGGCAUAAGCCAGCUUGACUGCGAGCGUGACGGCGCGAGCAGGUGCGAAAGCAGGUCAUAGUGAUCCGGUGGUUCUGAAUGGAAGGGCCAUCGCUCAACGGAUAAAAGGUACUCCGGGGAUAACAGGCUGAUACCGCCCAAGAGUUCAUAUCGACGGCGGUGUUUGGCACCUCGAUGUCGGCUCAUCACAUCCUGGGGCUGAAGUAGGUCCCAAGGGUAUGGCUGUUCGCCAUUUAAAGUGGUACGCGAGCUGGGUUUAGAACGUCGUGAGACAGUUCGGUCCCUAUCUGCCGUGGGCGCUGGAGAACUGAGGGGGGCUGCUCCUAGUACGAGAGGACCGGAGUGGACGCAUCACUGGUGUUCGGGUUGUCAUGCCAAUGGCACUGCCCGGUAGCUAAAUGCGGAAGAGAUAAGUGCUGAAAGCAUCUAAGCACGAAACUUGCCCCGAG
rnacentral:rRNA from 1 species